rnacentral:rRNA from 1 species
UACAGAGGGUGCAAACGUUGCUCGGAAUCAUUGGGCGUAAAGCGCGUGUAGGCGGCACGACAAGUCAGCUGUGAAAGCCCUCGGCUCAACCGAGGAAGUGCAGCUGAAACUGUCGAGCUAGAGUGCUGAAGAGGGUGGCGGAAUGCGCAGUGUAGAGGUGAAAUUCGUAGAUAUUGCGUAGAACACCAGUGGCGAAGGCGGCCACCUGGGAAGCUACUGACGCUAAGACGCGAAAGCAUGGGGAGCGAACAGG